rnacentral:rRNA from 1 species
UACGUAGGGACCAAGCGUUGUUCGGAUUUACUGGGCGUAAAGGGCUCGUAGGCGGCCAACUAAGUCAGACGUGAAAUCCCUCAGCUUAACUGGGGAACUGCGUCUGAUACUGGAUGGCUUGAGUUCGGGAGAGGGAUGCGGAAUUCCAGGUGUAGCGGUGAAAUGCGUAGAUAUCUGGAGGAACACCGGUGGCGAAGGCGGCAUCCUGGACCGACACUGACGCUGAGGAGCGAAAGCCAGGGGAGCAAACGGG